AUGGCUCAGCAGACAAGCCCGGACACCUUAACAGUACCUGAAGUGGAUAAUCCGCAUGGUCCAAACCCGUGGCUGAACGAGGAUCUUGUGAAUUCCUUGCGGGAAAACCUGUUGCAGCACGAGAAGUCCAAGGCAGCAAGGAAAUCCAUUUCUCCUAAGCUCUCUCCGGUGAUUUCUCCGAGAAAUUCCCCCAGGCUCCUGCGCAGGAUGCUUCUCAGCAGCAACAUCCCUAAGCAGAGGCGUUUCACUGUGGCACAUACGUGGAAGUUUAAAGAAUAUGAAAGGAAAUGGAAAGGGCUCAAAAAAUGAAAAACGGAUCUGAGCAAAAUCUUUUGUUUUUCUAUUUUGUAUAAGAAUGUGUAGACAGAACUAGAGAAAACAAUCCAAAAAUUCAUUUGGAACCAGAAGAGACCUAGAAUAGCAAAAGCAAUUCUAGGCAACAGAGACAUGGCAGGGGGUAUCACAGUCCCCAACUUGAAACUAUACUACAAAGCUACUGUGAUAAAAACAGCACGGUACUGGCAAAAGAACAGACCUGAGGAUCAGUGGAUUAGAAGAUGCAGAAACAACUCCAGACAUACUCAGCCACCUCAUCUUUGACAAAGGAGCCAACCACCCUCAUUGGAGGAAAGAUAGCCUAUUUAAUAAAUGGUGUUGGAAAAACUGGAUUUCAACCUGCCAAAGAUUAAAACUAGACCCAUACCUAUCACCAUGCACCAAACUAAGAUCAAAGUGGAUUAAAGAUCUAAAUAUUAAGACAAACACUAAACUUUCUGGAAGAUAAGUUAGGUAGAGUUCUUGAGGACAUUGGCAUCAGAAAAGACUUUAUGAACAAAACCUCAGUAGCACGGGAACUAGCACAAAGGAUCAACAACUGGGAUCUCAUCUUACUAAAAAGCUUCUGCACUGCAAAAGAAACCACCAACAGAGCUGACAGACAACCUACAAUGUGGGAAAAAAAUUAGCAGCUGUACCUCAGACAAAGGACUACUAACUACAAUAUAUAAAGAAGUCAAAAAAGUCAGACCCCCCAAAUUCAAAGACCUAAUUCAAAAAUGGACAUCUGAAAUGAACAGUUAUUUCUCAGAGCAAGAAGUAAAAGCAGCAAAUAAAUAUAUGAAAAAAUGUUCAACAUCAUUGGUCAUUCAAGAGAUGCAGAUGAAAACAACACUGAGAUUCCACCUCACUGCAGAAAGAAUGGCUGCUAUCAAGAAAUCAAUCAAUAACAUGCUGCUGGGGUUGUGGGGAGAAAGGAACCCUUCUCCAUUGUUGGUGGGAUUGCAGGCUUGUGCAACCACUGUGGAAAUCAGUAUGGAGAUACUUCGACAAACUAGGACUAGAGGUCCCAUUUGACCCAGCUAUUUCACUGCUGAGUUUCUUCCCAAAAGAAUUAAAAGAAUCAUACCACAGCGAUAUAUGUGCACCCAUGUUUAUAGUGGCACAGUUUGUAAUAGCUAAAGCUUGGAAACAGCCCAAGUGCCCAUCAACUGAAAACUGGAUAAAGAAGGUGUGGGUUUUUAAAAAAUAAAAUGGAGUACUACUCAGCCAUAAAUAAUAAGAAACUAGAGUGAUUUGUAGCUAAAUGGAUGCACAUUGAGGCCAUACUCUUAAGUGAAAUAAAUAGGACACACAUGUGUAAAUGCCGAAUAGUUUCACUAGUAUAAGAAACUGAAAGUGCAAAUAAGGGUUAAAAUGAUUAAAAUGAAUAAUUGAUAAUUUGAAAUAGGAAGAAAAGUCCAAAGGGGUAGGGGUGAUGAUAGGAGAAGGGAAUAGGAAAGGAGGGAAAGGAAAAAUUAUGAGAAAAGAAAAAAAAAGGAAAUGAAGUCUAUGUAAAUAGAGAAAGGUGGAGGGGGUAAAGGGAACACAGGUAAUGGGGAAAAAAUAAGAACCAAGAUACAUCAUGUACAGGUACAAGCACCCAAUAAUAAAUGUAAACAUAUUAUAUACCUAAAAUGUGCCAAUAAAAGUACUUAAGAAUUAAAAAAAAUAAAGAAUGUGUAGACAAAAUGGAAAGAAUGAAAGAAUCAUGGUAACCAGUGUGGUUGCCAUGAUUAUUGUUACUGAGGAAAGAGUACAAGUUACUGUGAGGACAAGAAAACGUUUAGCUCAUCUGUAAGAUAUAGUUCUACAGUAUUGGACAGCACAGGGUUUAGAGCAUUAAAAUCACCACAGGAAAUUCAACUGGAUAAUACUACAUGAGUGGAACAGAAAAAUUAGAGGAUAGGAUCUUACAGAAAAUUUUGGAGCAGAAAAAAUUAUUCUAAAUGAGGAUGUGAGGAAGAAUGUUCUGUAUUUUGACAAUUUUGAAGCUUUCCUUUAUUAUUUUAACAUUUUUUAAAUUAGCAUGAGUCACAAAAUUGAUGUGGUCAGUUAAUAAGCUAGUGGUAUUUGGGGAUUUUUUUCUGAGAAACAAUUAACAAAUUGAUGAUGUCUCAUGAUCAAGGGUAUUUUAGAUUCAAUGACAUAUAGUAAUACAAGGCUGAAAAGACUUUAUCUAGGGUAGCAAUUACAAAGAUAAAGAAUCGAGAGCUGGACAGAAAGACUGAAGAGCCUUGGUGAUAAUGGAAUAGAGUUAAAUUUAGAAAGGCCAGACCCAAGAUUCCAGAACUUUCUUAGUCACUGUCCUAGUUACUGAUACAAAAUACUUGACAUCCACAAUUUAAAGGAGGAGAGGUUUAUUUUGGCUCAUGUUUUUAGUUCACUGUUGGAUGAAUUCAAGUCAGGAAGGCACGGCAGAAGUAUUUUGAGAAGGAAAGCUGCUCAUCACAUGGAAGCCAGGAAUCCCAGAGCUGAGGGGGAAGUGAGGAGGGAGAUACACUCUUCCAGGCCACGCUGCCCAUGAUGAACCUCUUCUGAUCAGGCCCCACUGCCUAAUAGCACAUUUAGCUAUAAACUCAUGAGUGGACGAGUCUUCCAAUGUGAAUAGUGCCUCCAUGAUCCAGUCACUCCCCAGAAGUCCUGCUUAUGAUUGCAUGAGGCUUUGUGGGGAACAUCUAGAUGUAAAGCAUAACAAAUACAUUGGAGAAAUGGUGUAGUGGCCAUAGUUCAAAGUACUUUCUCGGGUUUAUAGUUUCUAUCUCUGGGUUCUCAGAUUGUUGACUGUAAAUUGUGUUAAUGUGAGUCUCAGAUUAAUGACUUUACUCAUUCUAAAGUACUCUUCUCUGGGGGUGGAGGUAUUACCUGACAUGAACAGUACUCCAGUGGCUUGCCUAAGAUUUUUUAGGAGAGAGGAAAGAGGUAAAAGAAUGCCCUUCUUCUUAUGGCAUGGACAAAAUGCAUAGAGAACAGAGAUAUAGAGGUUUUUCUAAAACAAAGGAAAGACCCUUAUAAUAUUCAAGGUAAUAAUAGCCAUAUACCAUAAUAUCCAAUAUGUUAGACUUGAGAUUUGAACUGGGAUAGAGAAGGCUAUGCUGUACCAGUCUUACCAGGAAACCAGGCAUAUCCUAUUAAAGAUGAAGGUAGUUUUCUUCACUCUACUUUUCACUUUUUGAUGUGAUUAUUCUGGUAUUAUUUUGAAUAGAAAAUUAGAAUUAAGACUUGGUAAUUUAUUUCACAUGGUUAUUGACACUAUAGUACUCUUUUCCCCUGGA
rnacentral:lncRNA from 1 species